UAGCAAACGACAGCUAGCCACA
rnacentral:miRNA from 1 species